AUGGCGAUCCCGUUGCUUCUUGCCCAGUUACUACUGGCAGUGGCACUAGCAGCGGUGCAAGCGGCGCCGCGCUUGCACCCCGUGGUCCUGGUGCCGGGCUACGCCACCAACGAGCUGGACGCGCGGCUCACCGAGCUCUACCGGCCGUCGUCGCCGUGCUGCGGGGCGCGCAAGGGGGAGGGGUGGUUCCGCCUCUACCUCAACUACUCCGCCCUCCAGGACCCCGCCAACGUGCCGUGCUUCGCGGAGCAGAUGCGCUCCGUGUACGACCCCGCCGCUGACGACUACUCCAACGUCACGGGGUACCGCGACGGCGAGACCAUGUUCGGCGCGCCCUACGACUUCCGGUACGCCGCCGCACCGCUGCCGCAUCCUGGGGUGCCGGUGACCUCUGUCGUCGGGGUCGGGGUGGGGACGCCGGAAAGGAUAGUGUUCCCCGGGGAUGACUUCGACGUGACGCCGUUUGUGGUCGCCGGGGACGGCGACGGGGUGGUGAACCUGGUGAGCGCCGUGGCGGUGGAGACGUCGUGGAGCCAUGGUGGUGAGGAUUUUAGGAUGGUCAAGGUGUCCAACAUGUCCCAUAAUGCCCUUCUGGUGGAUGAUCGAGCGCUCGAGAUCAUAAUCCGAGAGAUUCAACGGGCUGAUUAG
rnacentral:rRNA from 1 species